rnacentral:misc_RNA from 1 species
GAUGAAGAACGCAGCGAAAUGCGAUAAGUAAUGUGAAUUGCAGAAUUCAGUGAAUCAUCGAAUCUUUGAACGCACAUUGCGCCCUCUGGUAUUCCGGGGGGCAUGCCUGUUCGAGCGUCAUUAUAACCACUCAAGCUCUCGCUUGGUAUUGGGGUUCGCGGUUCCGCGGCCCCUAAAAUCAGUGGCGGUGCCUGUCGGCUCUACGCGUAGUAAUACUCCUCGCGAUUGAGUCCGGUAGGUCUACUUGCCAGCAACCCCCAAUUUUUACAGGUUGACCUCGGAUCAGGCAGGGAUACCCGCUGAACUUAAGCAUAUCAAUAAGCGGAGGA